ensembl:lncRNA
GGAGGAGGCUUGGCUGUGGGAAGCUCUAGAGGAGAAAUGUGUGGGUUGCUCUGACUUGCCGGGAAUUCCAUCACAAUUUUCCAGACACCCCCCUCCCCUGUUAUACCUGUUUUAUGCCCAGCACAAAGCUUCAAGAGGCAGACGACAGCAGCAUUCAUGCAUUUUUAGUGGAGAAUUUUAAAGUACCCGGAUUUAAGUCAAGAAACCUGAGGCCCCAGAUCAAGAUUCCCUGGCUGGUCCAGAGGCCGAGGGUGUGCAUGAGCUGCCAAGCCGUCGGAUCCCUGUCCCUGAAGGAUUUCAGGAAGCCUGGAGUGCCCCCUUGUUCUAGUGACCCUUUUUCCCACUCUGAUAUCCGAGUUUUCUGUUUUUGACUGGUGUGUCUGGGCUGAGGGUUUUUUGAGAGUGAUCUCUACAUAUUUUUUUCUUCCUCUAUUUUCCUUCUUCUCACCUGAGCUGGGCUGGCCCUGUCCCCAUGCCCCUUGGGAAGGGUGUAGCAGAUAGGCAAGUCUGUCCUCCCAGGUCAGAGCCAGAUUUAGAAUAAAUGCAAAGUGAGAAGGAUUUUUCCCCAGGGUAGACAGAGUCUCCUGAGGCUGGAGGAACCUGAUCUAUUUAGUAGCUGAACCUGCUAUAGGACACAAACAGGAAAUGGCUUUACUUUAUCUUCUUUCUCUGUUUUAAAGCUAUUCAGUUGAAUUUCCAUUGCUGACUGCCUGACAUCUCAGGCUGACUUUUACUUAGAGGGCGGUAAACAUCUAGUGUCACUUAAUAUGAAAUGUCAACACCUUCCUCCUUCACCUAAUCUUAAAUCUUCUCCCCUUUCCCCCACCCGCCGAGGCUCAGGCUGACAUCACAGCACCACAGGGAGAAAACUGAGGGGCAGUCUCUGCCUUCUCCCUCCUCCAUCUGGUGGAGUCUAGUCCAGCACAAGCCAAGGCCACCUCCCUCUCCAGCCACUGAUGAUUCAUCUCUUUCAAUAGACUCUCUCAUUUCAAUGUCUGUCCUUCUCUUUCAUCUGGACCUGGGGCAGAAGGUGUAGGGCCAGUUUAUCUCUCUAGUUGGUUCUGUGGGGAUGCCCUUGUGGAUGUGAGUGUGUGGAAGCAAAGGCAGGAGAGAUGUGCACACUGCACCCUGCGGGGUCCUGAAACCAGAGAGAGCUGCGCCAAGAUGCGUGGCAUCCUCGAGAGAGAAGGCUGAGCCCUGAAUACAUCCUCAGGAGAAUUACAGAGGCAACCAGUCUGUUUAGGGCUUGAAACUUUCCUCGAGAGAAAAGGCUGACAACCAGAGGCCACAAGCCAGACUUGGUUAUAGAGACAGAUGUUUUGUUUAGCACGGUGCUGUGAGCAACUUGAAUGUCACCCCACUCUGUCAUCAAUCUUAUGCUCUUUAGAGCCUGCCCCAGUGGGCCCCACUCAUGCCCACUCACAUGGAUCCGGGAGGCCUAGAGCCUGUGACCCUGCUUGAGAACCUGAACCACAGGCUGCCUCUGCCCAGAUGCCCACUCCCCAAGGCACCCUGGGAACAGAUGCUGUAAAGAAAUUCGGGCCCUGAAGAGGUCAUCUGGGGACAGAGGGCAAGAACUGGUUCUCACCCAUCACACUAUGGAACUCAAGAUGAGGACAUUCGGCAAGGCCAGCUCAUAUUCUUCAGCAGCCAGGAAGAUCUGGGGCUGGGAGCCAGCAACAAAUUUAUCACUUCAAAAAAUAAUCAAGUGACAGUUGUGGGGACAUUUGAGUUGGUGAUAGAAAAAAAUGAGAAGGUACAAUUAAUAAUUCAUCUAGUUCUUCUUCAUGUCAUUCCCUCACCUAUCCUUUCAAACUUCUAUUUUUGUGGUCGCCUUCACCAUUAUUCAUAGUCAUUGCUUUUAAUGAAUGGAUUUGUUGAUUCAUUCAUUCUUCCAUUCGUUCAUCAAAACCAGGCACCCAUCACCUGCCUAUGAUCAGGACUUAGGACAAAAACAAGCAAACAACCCAAAAAUAAAAAAUGAAAAAAAA